ACAGGCUGCGGGAGUCACCAACUGAAGAGACUCAAUGUCCUUGAAAGCACUUUUCUUUUUAUUAUGUUCAAAAUUCAGCAACGAAAACUGCUCGUCUUGCUUCUACGGAAGCUGUAAGGACGAGAAAGUGGAGCGCUGUCGCGGAAAGAGGCAGAAAUUUGGUGACACAAGAGCGAUCUCAGGACAGGGUGGAGCCAGGGAUCAGGACUGUGGUGCCCAGUCCCAGCUCAGCUAAGCCAAUGUGCGUCUUUGGGUCGUUUAGAUUAAGUGCUGAGAGGUGUAGCUCUUCCUAUACCUGCUGGACUACAGAAAGGCAGGCAGCCACUGCCUAGAGAAGGGUGAGGACUGCAGAGACCAAACAGCUCCUCCCAUGUCCACAUCAGCCCUGUCUGAGCAGAUCCUAGAACGUAGCCUGCUUUGCCGCCUUCUCUGCCUGCAGCACUCUGCCUG
rnacentral:lncRNA from 1 species